rnacentral:lncRNA from 1 species
AGGAAAUCUACGAGCCUCUUCCUGGCAACGCUUUGCUACUUAACAUGAGAAAGUGACCUACAGAAACUGGAUGGUCAUAUAUACGGUCAACAUUACUUGGUGUUAGAAGUGAGAUCCAGAGAAGACCCUCCCAUCCCAACAACUCUGAGGCUGGAGAGCAAAUAGGUGCUAGUACUCACUGAGCCCAUUGCCCUCACUGCUUUCUCAUUGACCCUGGAGUUUGAGGUCUCCUUGGAAGGGAUUAUACCACUCCUUAAUACCCAGAUGGCAGCCAAACUUCAGGGACUCGAACCUUGGGUACACAUCUCACAGCUAAAGAAGUCUCCACCUGACAUCUGGUCCUGUACAAAUGCUGGAGCUCUCCAAAUCAAAUUGACCAGGAAGAGAAGCAGCUGACAUCUCAGGCAGCUUUUCUAAGAUGACUGGACCGGUCCUAUAUACCCUUUUCUCACUGUUAUUUAUUCUCUCUUUCUGCUUUGUGGAAAGACAAUGCCCUUGUCCACAUUUCGCAAAACUUUGCAAAAGAGGAAAACCUCUUUUGAUUAUGGCCUUUUAUAAACAGCCUCAUCAUUAUCCUUCAUGACAAAUUAAUCUUUUCACUUGCUUUUUCUGAAGAUUUGGAAAGUUCAGAAUUCACAGAACUCUUUCUUUCAUCUGGACUAUUAAUUGACUCUGGAUUCUUAUCCAAAUUCAUGGUCUCUGAAUUUGCAAACUUACAGGCUGCAUUAUUGGAUAAAACCUUUGGUUCCAAACAAUUCUUUUGAGAUAACAACACUGUUUUAAUACAU